UACGGAGGGUGCGAGCGUUGUCCGGAAUCAUUGGGCGUAAAGGGCGCGUAGGUGGCCCGGUCAGUCUUUGGUGAAAGCGCGGGGCUCAACCCUGCGUCGGCCAGGGAUACUGCCGCGGCUGGAGCACUGUAGAGGCAGGCGGAAUUCCGGGUGUAGCGGUGGAAUGCGCAGAUAUCAGGAGGAACACCGAUGGCGAAGGCAGGUCUCUGGGCCACUACUGACGCUGAGAAGCGAAAGCAUGGGGAGCGAACAGG
rnacentral:rRNA from 1 species